rnacentral:misc_RNA from 1 species
CGGGGGGAAUCAGCUGAUUACAUAAUUGGCGAAGAAGUGGUAUAUAAUAGACUAAUGGAGAUGUCAAAAGGUUUUCCUAAUUCUCUGAACAGUGAUAAUAAAUAAUAGGAUCAAGUUCACAAAAGAUAAACAAAUUCUUACAGACUAGACUCCAAGUAAGGGACACUGCUUUUUAGCAUGUUCUGGUAACAGUUUGUUUAAGAGUUCUGAAGACGCUCCUUUCAGCUCUUGAGGCCUGAAGUUGAAGAG